GGAGCAGGAUUCCCGAUCCCAACAGCACCUCAGUCACCUGGUGAACUUCUUUAAAUGCCGAUAUACAAAUAACUACUGAAGCUAUAAACAUAUUCCUACCCCCUGGCCCAGCACUUCUCCCAGGUGCAGGCCCGAGGGCAAUGAAUGGUCCACCACAACACAAGGUUGAAUUGUAGCAGCUUUAUUCAUCACAGGCCCAAACUGGAAACCCAAAUGAACAUUAGAGACUGGGUAAAUACACUGUAGUAUUUUCACAUAGUGGGACACACACACACAUAAGAACUACACAUACCCCAGCAGACAUCACGGUGAGUGGAAGCAGCAAGAUGCAGGAGUACUUCCUGGAUGAAUCCACUCCUAGAAAGUCUCAGAAUAGGCCACAUGGGCCUAAGGUAAUAAAACAACGGUCUCCUGGAGAAGGUGGACUACAGGGCACGCGGAAAACUCCUGAGGCCCUGGAAAUGUUCCUCUGUCCUCACCUCAUGUUGCCUGACCCAUGUGUAUAGAUAAGAGGAAAAUGCACCAUGUUCUACACUCAAGAUUUGUGUGCUUCAUGCACUUUCGUGUAUAUAUAUAUUAUAUUCUAAAGGGAAUACUACAAAAAACCUCAAGGCCCAGGCUGCAGCACCAACAAUUUAAACCUCCGUCUCUGGGAAUGAGCCCCAAGCACUGGUAGUUUUAGAAGCUAUUAUUCAAAUGUAAGCCAGGGUCUGCCACCUGCUGCCCUAGAACAGUGUUCCCCAAACUUUGAUGCACACACAGAUCACCUGGAGUUUUAUUAAAAUGAAGCUGUGGGCUCAGUAGAGUGGGCCUUGAGAUUCUGCCCUGGUACUGCCCAGGAACAAGGCUUCCACCAGGAGGGAGAGAGUAAGACAUAGAGCGGCCCCCCUCAGAGAACCUGGAGAUUCUGUGAUUUCCAGUCUAAAGAAUUCCUGACUGGAAGAGGCAGGAAAUAUUAAGGCUGCAUUUAAAUUUGAUUAGAGGGGAAAAGCACAGUGUUUACAGUGGGGGGUGGCAAACUUUCUCUGUACAGGACUAGGUAUCUUUGGCACUGGGCAUGGUCUCCACCACAUUAUACCCAACUGCUUGUAGCACACACGCAGGCAGAGGCAGUAUGUACACUGGCCGUGGCUGUGGGCCAGUAACUCUCAUUUGCAAACACAGGCCUGGCUUGUGACCCAUGGCUGGCGUUACAUCAUUGGUGUGUCUGGUAGGAGACAAGAAACAUUCAUAACCACCUUCCACGAGAGGAACGUGGGUGUUAGGGGAACGUAGGUGUCAGGGAACACAGAAAGGAGACAACUUUUCACUGGUUAUCCUGACAUAUCUUUGGAAUCCUGUACUGUUGUUAAUCACCUAUUUAAAACAUGAAAAAACAAGAAGAAAGGACUUCUACACAUGACGCAUCUGCAGACAGCCUCACUACUACCAUCUUUUCCGGAGAGCCCAUGAGCCAGGCCCACAGGUAAGCCCAUCUCUGCAGGACAGCGCUCCUCUCCUCUCCACUUUCCUUGGCCUUCUUUUCCUCCAAGGUGGUGGGGCUGCCUCCUGCAAGAAGCCCUACCAGAAGCCCGGGAGGUGGGCCUCACACAUCCUUCCUGUCCACACAACUACUUUGGCCAUCAAAGGAGAAGCAGAGGUAUCUAUGCAGGUGAGGGCACAGAGUCUGGAAGGCCCAGGUUCCAGUCCUGGCUGCACUGACUUCGAGUCUGUUUCCCACCUCGCCAGUGGUUGCCAGGAUCCCAAGUGUGGGGAAAUACCACCAUCUGCCCAGAGACCACCAAGCCCACCUCCCCACACACAAACACCUACAGAAGGGUCCCUGCGAGCUGAACCCUUGCAGCCUUCUCAGCAAGAUGCUUAGCAUACAGCAGGCACUCAAAGGAGAGAAAUAGCUUGUCACCAAGCCAAGGAGGCCAGGGAAAAACAAGCAGCCCACCCCAGGCUGGCGUUUAGGAGGUGCCUGCCUGCCGGUGCCUCCACGGCUUCUCAAAUGUCCUCUCCCCUGACCAGCUGUUGGAUGGGCCUAUUUCUAGCAACAGUGAAGCUCUCUCCUAAAUAAUUUGCUUUGUUAAAAUACAAAAUAAGUCUCAUUAAGAGGAAUCUUCAGGAAGGCCCUUAUUUACAGAUCUGAAGUCAAACCUGGCAAGCACCCCUGUGCUCACCUAAUCUACCCCAUUUUACUGCUGGGAGUUCUGGGGGCAAAGCUCCGAGCCCUCAGAGGAGAAAGGUAUGGGACCCAGAAUGACACCAUCAAUAAGGACAGGCUAGGAGAGGCCAUGGGUAACACAACCCCCAGACCUCAGUGAUGGAUGACGGGCCUGCUCUAUACCUCACAGGUCACAGGUUGACUGCGCGCUGUUCUGCAUCGCCUUCACGUGGCCAGGUAAAUGGACUAGGCUGCACCUGGAAUGGGGCCGACGAUGGGCCAGAGGGAGAGGACAAGUGAGCCACACACUGGCUCUUGAGGCCGCUGCCUCUACCCACUGACCAUGCUGAGCACCAGAGGACCAGGAUGUACAAUCCUACCACAGGAAGGACGGCACUUCUGGCAAAGAGACAUCCACUCGGCAGAGGUGCUCAGCUGACAACACCAUUGUGUCAGAACAAAAAGACAGAAAUGUUCAGAGGUAUGAGGUCUCAUACAUGUUCUGAAAACAAAAAAAUUAAAAGACUCCAGACAAAAGUGUGUCAAAAUAAAGAACUCAAACAUAUAUUAAGACACACAGAUAUUUAAGAAACUAGAUGAGCAGCGAACCUGGUGACUCAAGAGUUGAGCCAAAAUGUUUUUUUGAUAACGUGAAACAAAUUUAAUGUUACCAUUCAAAGAUUCUUGAGAUAGAGGCAUAUGUGAAAAAAGUCUGGAAUUCUGAACCGGAUUCUAGAUGGUUCCGACAGGAGAUAGAGUACAUGCUCAUGUAUACUUGUAGGAGGAAGGGGAGAAAUCUUUCAGCUGAGUUGCUUCUUGUUUGGGGAGAAAGGAGGCCUUAAAUAUGUGAUACUGAGAAAAAUAUAAAUUCAAAGUUAUCAGCAGAUAACUGAUAGUCAUUAUACCACAGAAACAAGGUGUUCAAUGCUAACUUUACUAGGGGGGAAAAUUUUGAUCAAGCAAAUAAUGAGGAAAGCAAAAAAAAAAAAAUCACAGAAUAUAAAAAGAAAAUGAACUAAAUGGCAAAUAAUAUUGCCAACUAUGAUCACAAUAAACAAGCUUCACGUACUGAAUUACCAUAUUUCACACACACAAAAAUUCUGGCAAUGCACCGUUUAUAAGCCACCCACCUAAAGCUGACAGAGGACAUAAUAUUUAAAACAAAAAGCACCAAACAAGAUAUCAAAGGUAUUUUACAUUGAUGAGAAAAUACCACCCCCAUGCUUUCUUGUAACUGAAACUUCUAAUAGAAGAUAUUAAGAAAAAUGGGGAAAUGUAACGAUUCAUGAGCCCUUUCAUGUAUUUUUCUUAGGUAUGGACAUAGUACAAAAAAAAGAAAGAGGGUGGAGAGGUCAAAAAGAAAAACUAUAGAUUUGAAUAAUUUACAAACCUGACUUAAAAGAUCACAUAAAACUUUACACCAAACCAAACAUUUGCAAAUGUUGGUAGAACACUGACCAUGAUCCCCUCCCCCAAAAAUCAUCCUAACAUUCUCAUUAGGAGAAAUAAAUGUGCAAAAGGACUUAGAGUUUUUUUAGUAAGUUAAGAAGAACUUAAACAUAAGGCUGUGAGUAUUGGUGCCAAGCUGACCAGGCUGGGAGCCACCUGCACUCACCAAGCCCUUGAGGUGAGGCCAGUUCUGAAGACAGGCUGGACUUCACACACACAGGGGAUUCCAGAGCUUAGUAUGAAAAUUUUGAAAAGUGUCUCAUUAGUACUUCUAAUGUCCAUUACAAAUAAACUAUUAAAAUGCAUUCCAGGACUUUUUCCUUUUUAUUGAGGCUCCUAGGAAACUUUAAAUUACACAUGUGGCUCACAGCAUAUUCUUAUUGGGCAGUGUUGGUCUAGAAAUAAUCCAGAUUUUCCACUUUCUGUCCAUAUCCUCUAUGACAUAUUCCACUGGAGACUAUUUGCUUUUUAGAUCAUCACAGAUUUAAAAUGCCCAUUCCUUGGUCUAAAUAUGCUACAGGUAUUCUUCUGGCUUCAUUUAUAUUACAUAAAUUUUUAUUUUUCAUAUAAGCAAAAUGGUGUUUUUCCAUCUGAAGUUCCAAAGGUUUCCUAUGGGCUGAUCAUUUGACGACUGUGGCAUCUCUUUGGGGACAGGGAACAAGGCAGGAACGAGGCUGAUCAAUCCCCUGCUGAUGCAGAGGGGCUGUGUUUGAGGACCUGCCAUGGGGAAGAGCCUGGCUUUGGGUCUCAGCUCUGCGCCAUCUGCAAACCACCUUCUAAAGUUACAAUAUGCUAUGCCUGCGUUAGUCCCUGCCUCAUGAGCUGUCAUGAGGACCAAGAAUUACCUGCCAGACAGGUCUGACACAGAAUGCUCUCCUUACUUCUGGGUGGCUAAAUGACACCUUGAAGUGGCACACACGAGCCUGUACGGGGUGAAGCAGUAACCCCAGAACCCUGUCCCCACACACACACCCCUAGGACUGGCCACUCCUCCCAUACCUGGCAGGGACCCAGAGACCAGAGGGGAAGUAGUUCACGUAAACAGCUGACAUGAGAACAGGUUAGAAGCACCAGCCACCUGCACCCAGCCUCCCACCUGGACAAGUCACCCACUCUCUCCAGCACCGACCUCUCCCAUGAACUUUCAGACUCCCUGUAGCUGUGCCGAGUGGCUCACAGGUAAUUCAGAGAACGUGUUUAAAACAUACUCGCCUGGAGGGUGGAGCCAGACCUCCAUAAAUUCACUCCUCGGCACGAACAACAUUACCAGCAAAAUAAAAAUAAAAUGGCCAAAAACAACUUUCUCAGAAUCCUGCAAGUUAAAAAAAAAAAAGCUCACAAUAACCUGAGAAGGGUUUCUCUGAAGAGUACCUGCUCUCCACCAGCCUCCAACUUACUUUUCCUCCUGUAUACCAAGCCUUGUCUAAUAGAGCCAUCCCUGCAGGCUGGGCUGCAAAACCAGGACACCUGAACGGCCCGCCUCCUGCAAACCCGGGGGCUCUCCCCAAGGAUCCUGCCUCAUCACUCGCCACCCCAGUGGGCAGCCCAGAGGAAGCCCUUGUCGCCUCUGACCACCCUGGCUUGAGUCUCUGCUCUCCCACCUCCCCAUCAGGCUCUGAUGGCUGUUAAAGCCCCUCAGUGAGUACCAAAGGUGAACCGCAAACCCGCACCCAGGCUUUGUGAACUCUCCCUGGACGAGCUGGAAGGCUCCCACACACCCCUCCCACUCUAGCGAUGCCAAGUUGUACAGAAGUUUAGUCCUGGGUAUGACCUGACUUGGCCAAAGUCACAGCCAGUCACUGCUGGGACUUAGGACUACCAGCAGCCAGGACUGCAGGAGAGCUCACCGCGGGCAAGCUCUGCACAAGUGGGGAACAGUUCCAUGAUUUCACUUCGUUGCCUUACAAGGGUGGUAACAUGAUGUGGUCCUACACAUGUGGGAAACUGGGGCUUUUAAUCAUGUGGGACCCACGGCUGGGGAGAGUGGCCACAGCUCUGUGGGAAGAUUCCUUCAGUGUGAAGGACGCUCGGGCUACCUCAGCUCUCUAGAGACCGCUGGAGGCCUGGGCCAAAGGGUCUGAGCCUGCCUUUGAGAGAGGGGGCCAUUAAAUCAAGUCUUAGUUCUGCUCUCACCGUGUAAAUGCAUUUUUUAUAUCAUUCUUACCACUACAGACUAAAUAGCUUCACAGAUCUAUCAAGAAUACACAACCAAUAAUUCUGGGAACCAAUGCUUUAAAUUCAAGCCUGGCUAUUUCAGACAUUCACUGGGAGAAGCCAGAGGAAGCUCGGCUGCCAUGCUGUGGGGGCAAGGAGGGGAUAAAGCCAGAUAGAAAUUGGACAAACUGUUUUCAAAGGCACAUGGGUCUCCUUCAGACAGGAUCCUCCAUCCACCAUACUCGCAAGCACUCCUUUCACUACCCACCCCUAACCUUUUUCCACCACAGAAAAAAUGGACUCAAAAUUACAGUGUAUACAGUCCAAGAUUUAUACAAGUUACUUAAGUUACUUAUUUUAAAUCUCACAAUGCUGAAGCCAGCCUAAAAAAAAAAAAAAACAAACACACCACUGCAAGGUAAUUCAAUGAGUUGCUUUUUUUUUUUUUUUAAACAAAUUUGUACAGAAGAAAAAAAAAUCCCCGGAUCACAGUCUGCACCAUACAGUCACCUUGUCUAGUUUGCAGGAAGCCAAGGGAGGAGCUGGGAUGGGCAGCU